CAUUGGAUGCAUUCCUCCUGACCAGCUCUAGGACUCGUCCUACAUUGCUCAGGGCUCCAUCGAUAAGGAGGAAGAGCUGCCGUGGGAAGGCGCGAUGCACAGGCUGCCGAUAGACCCAAGAGAGCGCCCCCAACAGUUUGACACAGCAACUACUAACAUAGUGACCACUCUAGACGAAACCUGCUUGAAGAAGAGGUGGACAGCUGGUUCAUGAUCGACCAAAACAGACCCUGGAUUUGCUUGAACCUGAUAUUGCAGUGUCAUGGCAACAAGCAGUAAGGAACUGGACAGAGAUUAUCAUCUAAACAGAAGCACAUCAGUUCACUCACUGGGCUUGCUGGAGCUGAACAGAGGUCGGAUUGUUGAGCAGAUAGCAAUGAUGUUGAGCAUGGUGCGGGUGGGCAUACUCUUAAUGACCACUAACAUUGCCUCCUGUUAAAGAGAUGAAAGCACAAUUACUUAAAGUAAAAUUCAUGCUUAUUUUUAA